rnacentral:lncRNA from 1 species
GGUAAUCGUAUUUUCCUUCGAAUUUCACCCAUGAAGCGUCUGAUGAGAUGUGGGAAGAAGGGCAAGCUUAGCCCCAGGUAUAUUGGUCUAUUUGAGAUUUUUUGGACCACUUGUGAUGUGGCUUAUAAGUUGGCUUUGGUCCCUAAUGUAUCAACUGUUCAUCCAAUUUUUCAUGUUUCUAUGCUUCGUCGUUAUAUUCCAGAUGAGUCUCAUGUCAUUCUUUAGGAGUCGGUUCAGUAAGAUGAGUGGGUAUCCUUUGUUGAGGAGCCAGUUUCCAUUUUGGUUAGGGAUGUUAGGCGUUUGUACUCUAGAGUUAUUCUUGUGGUUAAGGUUUAGUGGCGACAUCGAUCUGUAGAUAAAGCUACUUGGGAGGUGGAGUCUGAUAUGCAUAGUUUUUAUCCCCCAGCUCUUUGUUGAUUCUGGUAUUUCUUUUGCGUUAGUUUGAGGACGAACUGUAUUUUUAGUAGUGGAUGAUGUAACGAUCUAAACAUUUGAUAAAAUAUGUGAAAUUUAUGAUUUUGUGUGAUUUGACUGCCUCCCUGCAGUUGUAUUAUAAUAUUUCUGAGGUGUGGGAGUGAUUGACAUGAUUUUCGAUUCAUUUUGGUAUCAUUUAUGCAAUAUUGUGGUUUUUGAUGGCUUCGAGAGCCUUAUUUUGGACAUAUGUGGAUAUCUUAUGAUUCGUGCAACGGAUAGACGAAUAGAUUGCACCAGCAGCUCUAAAAAAUUGAUUUUAGGCUAGGUAGACCUUUGGUUUGGGUCCCGGUGCAACCAAGCUCAUUUCGACCUAUUGGUCGGAAAGUUGGAAAAUUAAAACUAUAGGUGUGGAUCCCACAUUUGAUCUAAACGACCUCGACUGAAAAAUUUGACUUUGUUAGCAGAUUUGAAAAGUAAGAUUGCAGGUUCAAGUAUAGCAAACCGAUUUUGACUUUCCAGGUAGGUUAUGGCUUAACUCUUUCAGAUUGCGAUGAGUAGUAAAUGAUGAUACAAAAUGCAUGUUAAGGGUAGAAACUAAUUUUCGCGCCCCAUUUUCCUCGCGGAAGGCGGGAUUUGACUCGACAAAUCUCUUGGGAUUGCGUCUGAAACGAAGGGUGUGAAGAGUCACCACCUAACGUAUUAAGGUGCAUUAGGGCACUGGUCUAGGCUACUAUGAACAUAUUUUGUCGUUUUGUCUUAGUUCACCAGAGUUCGGGUAAGGGUUCAAAUUACCUCAAAAGGAAGGUGUUAGGCACCUUUCAAGGUCCACAAAGGUGGUUCCCAGCCAAAUUCAUACUUUACAUGGGGAUUCUAUGUGAUCAAAUAAAGGUCGCUUCUUUUAUUAUUAAUUUACUAUUUAGCUAAGCGAUAAUAUAAUUAAUAAGCAAACACAUGUCAUUUGUUAAUGCUAAUUGUCGAUUAUCUAAGUGAUAAAAUAAAUAUGAAACAUAGAAAUAAGAUAAGCGAGGAGAAAGAAACGACAUAAUUUAUAAUAAAAAGGGGACUGCUUUAUAAUAAACUAGCUACCCUAGAUAAAUAUGUAAAAUAAAUAAAAAGACUAAAAGAAAUCGUCCGAGUCAAACAAAGAGAUGUUUUGGCUUUAUUAGGAUCAGAAACCCAACUUGUUAAUCAUCAUCCGACCCAAAGGCCGAACUCUUAGACAAGUAAUAAUGUCAUUAGCCUCACCGUUAAUAUUUGUUGGGAUCAUCAUUUCCGAAAAGGGCUACCCGUCCCACCCCGUCAAGGCUGGAUGUCAAGUCUAAGGGCGUUCUAUGACAAGGACAAAACUAACAUUUUUAGUAAUACUUAUCGUCCCAACUAUCGUCCAAGAGGUAUUGAACUUUAUUAUUUUGGAUUUGUGUUCUAAACUAAAAGAAAGCUAUGUUGCCUAGGACUCGAAACGCAAAUAUAUUGGACAACAAGUAGCACGUAAUAAUCCCAAGUUAGCCUCUUGAUUAAUUAACGUUUAUUAACGUGAUAGCAUGCGAAGACAGACAAUUAUAUAAUACGGCAUUAACCUAUAGGCAUGAUGUCUAAAUGUUCAAUCAAGUGGUGAUAAAGGACAACUAUGAUUCGUGCAUGCAACAAUGUAAUGCGUGUUCAUGAAGGUGUCACAAGUGUGGUAAAUGUGUCGAGAAAUAUUUUGUGAAUUGAGUGUUGCAAACUAAUGAGAAUAGAAGAAAUCAACAAGAAUAUUAAAAAGCACAAACAUGUUAAGGAUGCCAUAAUAUACUUACUCUAGUAUUUAAACGUACCGAAAAGUGCUUAAAAGUAUGUAUUUUUAUAUAACAACAAUUGUAUUAUUGUAGGAAUUUCAUAGUGACAUGUUGAGAGUGUAUCAAUCAUACUAAAGAUGUCUUAAAGCUAACAUUUUGACAUUCUGAUAUAUUUAAACAUGAUAGAGAUAUGCCAACAUACAGAAACUUUAACAUGCUAGAAGUAGUUAUGACAUGCUGAAAUUUAUUAGAUGCGCAAAAUUUUAAUGUUCUAAUGUUAAUAACAUGCUAAAUUUGUAUAGAUACACAACAUGAUUUAAAUGUGAUGAAAUUUAUUUAAACAUGCUGAGAUUUGUCUUAAUGUGCUAAAAUAUCAUAUUAACAUUCUGAAAAUUGCAAUAGCCCAAAAUAAUGAUAUGCGAAAAAGUGAAUGUAUUAACCUAUUUGAACUUAAUUUAACAUGCUUAAAAUAAGUUAACAUGCUAAGCGAUAAUUACCUCAACAUGUCAAUAUGUUUAAGAUUCACUAUACCACAUACCAGAAGAUACAUUGAUAUGUUUAUGUCGAAUUAAUGUGCCCGUUAUGCUAUAAUACAUAAUGUCAGGUUAAUAUGCUUAUAUUCGUGUUAACGUGAUAGGUAUAUUAAAUCGUUCACACCUAAUACUAAAAUUAUGUUAAUAUAUCGGGAUUGACUCAAAUUCGUUAGCAAACAAAUUAAGCAUUGCAUAUGUUAAUGAGUCCUAGAUGAUCCACAUAGCACGUAUUGCAUAUAAUCCUAGUUUGUCCCUACUUAUACCGUUCACAGAGCACAUAAAUUUCCGUCCCCCAAAUCAGUCCCCAGAAUUAUAUUAUUACAAUGAUAGGAAUGUUUUACAAUAAUAUUACAGACCAAAUAGUAAUAAAGGAAAAACAACUAGUUAAAAAAUACAUAGUUUAAAUAUUCCGGUGAUUCUUUGGAACUUGUAAGUGUCUAUUUACCCUGCGAAACAUAUUAUAAUAGCAAGUAGACAGGAACACAUAGUAGCAAACAUCAAAAUAUUCCUAAAGACAUACUUUCUAAAGGUUUUCAGAACACGAUGCAAUUAACACACAUAGAGAAUGAAAAAUUACAUCGUUCAAGAACUCACCAGUGAAUAGCAGUACAGAGAGAAUAAGAACAACAGGAGCCAAAAGUCAACCACAUGUAAUAGUUGAAGUAUGCAAGAUAUUAACAGCAGCCUCCAAAGAGAAACACUUUAAAAUAUUUAAUUACCUUAGAGAGUAGUAGUAGUAAUUGUAAUGUCAAAGCUUAAGAGUUUAAGAGCUCAAGAGCCUAUGAACUUGUGAAAUUGAGAAGUGAGAGCUUGUGAACUGGUGAACUUAUCCCUUAAUGAAAAAAAAGGAAUGAGUUUAUAUAGUAAAAGGGAUUAGAGGGUAAUAGGAGAAAAAUAUUUUUCACUCAAUCAGAAUCAAUUAAGGAGAGGAAAAUAAGCUGAGAAUCAAUCCAUAAUAUUAUUUUCCUUAGUUAAGUAAGGAGAAUCAAUUGUAAGCAGGUUUACCAUAAAUAGACGUGAGAUGAGUACAAAGAAGUACUGAUUUAGGAGGGAAUAAGUACUAACGGUAGAAAACAUAUCAAUGUUGGUAAUUACCAUAAAUCAGUCCAGUUUUUUAAAAAACCUUUCCAUACCACACAAGAAUAAAAGAUUAGAAAAAUCACAGACAUACCCAGUUUACCUAAAAUAAGCAAGGACAAGAGUUAACACACAUUUGAUCCCAAUCAUAUAUCAGUAAAAAAAUCCCACUUGAUUGUAAAUAAACUGGAUCCUACUAUUAUCAGCUGUUGUAAUACUUUUAGCUCACCAAAUAAAGAUAGCUGCAAAUUCAAAUUUUAAACAGAUAACCCAAGCACAUUUUAGACCACACAGUAACAACUUCUACCCGUAAGGGAAGGAUAUCAGAUUUAGAGGUAUCAUACUUCAAAUUAUGAAAUUAAAAUAAUGAAACUUGGGGCUUUGAAUAGGUAUGUCAGUCUGGAGAUGAACAUAAGCCCAAAAAUUAACAAAUAAGAACAAAAUUCAGAGUCACAAUAUCUUAAUUUAUAAAGUUGCAGGGCUGCAAUUUGUAAUCAUAGCAAACAAUCAUGCAUGUUAACCAAAGCAAACAACCAUGUAAUUAAGAGUUUGAGAAAUCAAACCAGAUAGAAAUAGUCGAUGUUUAUCGAAAGCCUCGCUGGUUAUGACAACUAGAUAGUGACAAUGGGGUCUUUCCUCGACUAGGGAGGGAAGAGUGAAGCAGAGGCGGCAGUGAGAAGACGGAUUGAUUGGACGGUGGGGAGGUCCGUUGCUGUUGGUGCUGCUUUGGGCAACUGGCGUGGCGCCAUGGUUGCUGGUGAUUGAGGAAAGGCGACGCUGGGGUUGACUCAUUGCUUUUGGUGGCAGCGUGGCUGCUAGGAGUACGGAGAUGAUGGCGUUGUUGUGGCCAUCGUUGAUGGAGGUGCCAUGGAUGGUGCGGCGGUAGUACGUCGAUCGGAGGAUGAAGGCGGCUCGUGGUAGCUGUUGUUGCUGCUUCGCGGUGGCACUUAGUUCGCUAGAGGAGAGAGAUGACAUGGAGAAGGAGAAGGAGAGAGGGGCGGCGCCGGCGUUGAUAUGGCCAACAGCUAUGGUUGCCGAUAGAGAGGGGAUUAGAGAAAGAGAAGAGAAGUAAAGAGAGAAAAAGGAGAGAGGGGUGUUGGAGGCAGAUGAAAAAAUGUUUUUGGAAAAUUAGGGUUUUGGGUUAUUAAAAAGGAAAGAAAAGUUUGAGGCAUCUCAGUCUUUUGAUUAAUUUUGAUCAACGCUUGAGAUUAAAAUAGGAUUAAUAACUUGAUUUGGUUAAAAAUGAAACACUUGUGGCUAUAUUUGACAUGAAAUAGCCAAAAUUGACUAGAUUUGUAAAGAUUAGGCUAUAAGAUGAAUAAAUUGGAUAAAUUGGUUUUUAAAAUUAGGUUGUUAUUUCAAUUAAAGUAGAGAUAGUAAAUAAGAAUAAUAAUAAUUGAAUAAAUAAUAAUAAUAAUAAUAAUAAUAAAAUAAUAAUAAAUAAUUAUAAUAAUCACAAAUAAUAAAUAAUAAUAUAUAAUAACAAUGUCAAUAAAUAAUAAUAAAUAAAUAAAUAAAUAAUAAUUAUAUCAAGAAAUAGUAUUAAAUAAUGGAAAACUAUAUAAUGUAUUUACAAAAAUAUGAGUGUGCACGAUUACGUGAAAAAAAUAAACUUAAUUAAUAAAAAUUGCGUAAAAUGUCAUAAUUGAUUUUAAAAUGAUGCUAAAAGAUAAUAAAAUAAUUUAUGUAUUUUUCUAAAUUAUGAAUGAGACACGUUAGUAUGUAUUAAAAAUGAAAAUAAUAUGUAAAAAAUAUUAAUAAUUAAGGUUAAAUAAUUUUAAUAAAUAACGGCAUAAAAGUGAUAUCGGGAGGUCAAAAUUGGGUGUCAACUGCUGCCCCUUCUUUGUUUGAGAAUGAUGAAAGAAUUGUCAAGCAAUGAAAGUUGACGUAGUGGCCAAUUUUGUCCGACCGAGAUGAUAGUUCGCUAGAAAGAAAGCACGAAAAGUGUUAAAAAUAGUGUGGCCGAGACUUUGGCUUUAAGUCACCUACAUAUCUCUGUUUUUACGAGAAUCGGGACAUUUGAAGUUCUAGAUUUAGGAAUGAACAAUAUUCCUAAAAAAUAUUAAUGACAAAGGUUGGGGCAUUGAUAAUGAUAUCAUGGAUCGGUGAGGCAGUAAUGAAUAGGAUUUGAAGUAAUUUGAAAACUUUAAGGUAGGUGAGGUGAUGAAUGAGUUCAUAUGGUGGAUGAAUAGAUGGAGUAAUAUUCUGAAAACAGAAACGAAUAUUGUCUCUGUCUGUUAUUUCUUCUCCGUUACCUACAUAUUUCACGGUAUACUUGAUAACCAAGGUUAAGUCAUGUAAAUGAUAAGCAUUUUAAAACAUAAAGUGAGUGUAAGAAGUAAAGAAAGCAUAUCUGUUGUACUAUUAGAUGACAUUGGAUCAUGUCGUUGGAUCAGCUGUUUGGCCUCUCAAUAUGAUGCCGGAUCGGCUGUUGAACCUUUCAAUGUUGAAUCAGCUAUUUGGUUUCUCGAUAUGACGUAGGAUCAGCUGUUGAACCUCUCGAUGUUGGAUCAGCUGUUUGGCUUCUCAUCGUGGGAUCAACUUUUGGGGCUUCUCCGUAUAUUAUGAAAUCGUGGUAUCAACAUUUGAGUUUCUCCAUUGUGGGAUAAGCAUUGGGAUUUUCCAUCAUCAGAUCGGCAUUUGAGCUUCUUCAUCAUCUGUUCAGCAUUUGGGCUUCUCCAUCGUCGGAUCAGCAUUGGAGCUUCUCCAUCGUCGGAUCAGCAUUUGGGCUUCUCCAUUGUCGGAUCAACAUUAGAGCUUCUCCAUUGUCGGAUCAACAUUGGGGCUUCUCCAUUAUCGGAUCAGCAUUGGAACUUCUCCAUUAUCGGUUCAGCAUUUGGACUUCCCCAUCGUCGGAUCAGUAUUGGAGCUCCUCCAUCGUCGGAUCAGCACUUGGGCUUCUCCAUCGUUGGACCAGCAUUGGAGCUUCUCCAUUGUCGGAUCAGCAUUUGGGCUUCUCCAUCAUUAGAUUAGUAUUGAGCUUUUCUAUCGUCGGAUCGGUAUUUGAGCAUCUCCAUUGUCGGAUCAGCAUUAGGCUUCUCUAUUGUUGGAUCAGUAUUUUAGCUUCUCUAUCAUGAAAUCGUGGCCCGUACCUGCCACUUGUAUCUCGACUCGACAGAAAUAAUUAGUGAAUAUAUGUUUGUGCAUAGAGGAUUGAAUAUUAUAGAAAACAAACAUAACGGUAAAGAUAAUGAAAGAUAGAAAAACGUAUUUGUCUUGUUGUCGGAUCAACUGUGCGGCUUCUCAUCAUGAUGUUGGAUUGUCUAUCGUGUUCCUUCAUGAUGAAGUAAUUUCUGUCACCUUAUAUCGUUGGGUCUCUUGUGAUGGAGUGAUUGUUGUCAUCUGUACCUGUUACUUGUUCCUGUACUCAAAGAAAAGUCAUCAGUCAAAAAAAUAUGAAUUUGUACCAUGCUCGAGUCGACUCCUUGGUCGUUGUUUUCUACUCCAUGAACCGUUGGGAUUUGUACUCUAUCGUGAUGAAAUUUUUGAGAAAUUCUCAAAAAAAAUUUCCCCAGUAUAGAAUGUAAAGCACCUUUGGCACGUCAUUUGUGAAUGAAUAUAUUGUUUACUUGUGAAAUUUUUGAGGAAUUCUCAAAAAUUUCUGCCCCAGUUUAGAAUGAAAGGCACCUUUUGCACGUCAUUGUGAAUUGAUAUAUUGUUUAAGUGUAAAAUUUUUGAGGUUUUCUUGAAACCUCAAAAAUUCUGCCCUAGUUGGAGCCGUAUAUUCCUGCACAACUCAAAGAAAAUAUUAGUUCAAGAGAAAUGGUUGUCCUACAUUUGAAUGCUCAAGAGUUGGGUUCAUUAGCUUGACAAUUUGGAUGUGUAAAAAUUUGAAAGAGAGGGGAAAGCAAAUGUUUUAUUAGAUAAAGACCAAACCCAAAGUGGGCUGCCUACGUAUCCAAAUAGAAGUCAGGUCAAAUGUAGUUCGUGAGGGUAAAGCGAGGAUAAGGAGGCGCAACGUUUAUCUUGAGCGAGGAGAAGGAGGGUUAGAGAAUUUUUGAAUGUUGAGCAUAUUUGUCAUAUUGUAGAUUUUCAAUCGAGUCGAUGUUCAAACGCUAGACAACCUUUAAAUAAUAAAUAGUAAACUAAAAUAAAUAUCAGCGUACUCAAUGCGAAAAGAGAUAGUAUGUCAAUAUGAGUCAUUUUGUCCAGGAGGACUUUAGGAUGAAUGUGGGCUAGAACUUAAGCUUUAAAAAUAAAUUGAUAUCACAAGAUAGAAGAUAGAUUCUAAUAGAUUCUAACAAAGACUUAGAUACCAAAUUCGUACUUGAAGCUGAUUGAGUAAAUAAGUGAAUAAUGAUAAGAUAUUGCAGAGAUGUGCAUAAAAAUGUUUAAAGAAAUUGUUUUGAACAAAUGGGAGAAUUGAAGAUUGACAAAGUUUUGAGCACUUUGAAGUAUUUACUUUGAAAUGUCUGAGAGUUUAAAAUAUUUUGAAAAGUCAUUUGAAUAAAAAACUUCUAAGUUGUACCCUUAUGACAUUAUGGAAAGGUAAAAGAUAUGGAGAAUAUGAUUUGAUAGAAGAAUUGUUGGAAUGAUAACGAUUGUUUCAUAUUUUCAAAUAUUAGGACGUUUUGUAAAAGAAAGGGAAAAGGAAGACCGCAUCCUUACAAAGGAUUGCCUACGUAUCUUGUUGGAACAAGAAUCAGGUCAGACGUAGUUCAAAAAUUUAAGAGUUGUGGAAGCUGAAUAGCGGGUGGGGAUGAAUUGGAGGAUAUUGAAUAGGCCCUAAGAGUGUAUUUUAGGGUCCUAACAUAACAAGAAUUUUACGAGUAACGAGCUCUAAAGUGAGGAACACUAAAUGUAAGGAGUGACUAAGGCAAGAACGAAACAACAAGAUAGGCAAGAUGUCAAUCCAUACAUAAAAAUGCAACACAUAGCAAAUAAGUGUGAGUCCUCUUAAGGUCGUGAACCUCUUUGGACUUUGAAUGAGACUAACACUCAACAUGUUAAGGAAACCAAGGCACCCUACGUUGAAUGAUAUGCAUAUUCCUUAGUAAAAGGAAUAUGUAGCCAAAACCUAAAGUACAAAAGUGGGUUUAUGACAUAGUUACCUCAAGUGGUCAACUCGAGAGUGGGAAAGCUUGUGGCUAUCAACACACCGCUGAUCGACUGAUCCACAAGACAUUUCUCGAAGGGUCUUUUAGGAAUGAACGUCCGUGUAUUCACGUAACCAUUCAUAAGAGAAAACAAAAGAGGUUCCAAGAGGAGUAAAGUAUGAGCACUAUGCCAGUUAUAUAAAGCAAUAAUAGGCAGCACAUAGGAACACAUAAUAGCAUGCUUUAGCAAAAAUAAAAAUAUAUAAUCAAUAAAGGAAAAAGUAGGAUGGAGGAACGUAAAUGACACAUAACAAAGGAAAGGAGAAGGGAUUAUCAUGCAUAAAUUGAUCAUCAAUAAAAGCAAAAGUAGUCAUGAAGAAACAUGAAUAACACAUAAACAUAGAGAAGGAGAAGAGACAAAUAAAUAAUGAUGUGAAUAAACAUUAAACAUAUAUAGAAUGGCCUAUGUCAAAAGCAAGCAUAAAAAUAAAUAAAGAGAAUCCCACAUAAGCACAAGUUCGUAAUGUUCAGAACCUAAUAAUCCCCAGCAGAGUCGCCAUUCUGUCGCACCCCAUUUUUCUCGCGGAAGGCGGGAUUCGACUCGACAAAAUCUCUUGGGAUUGUAUCUGAAAGGAAGGGCGUGAAGAGUCGCCACCUAACAUAUUAAGGUGCAUUAUAGCACUGGUCUCGACUACUAUGAACAUAUUUUUUCAUUUUGUCAUAGAUCACCAGAGUUUGAGUAAGGGUUCAAAUUACUUCAAAAGGAAGGUGUUAGGCACCUUUCGAGGUCCACAAUGGUGGUUCCUGGCCGAAUUCAUACUUUACAUAGGGAUUCUAUAUGAUCAAAUAAAGGUCUCUUCUUUUAUUAUUAAUUUACUAUUUAGCUAAGCGAUAAGAUAAUAAAUAAGCAAACACAUGUCAUUUGUUAAUGCUAAUUGUUGAUUAUCUAGGUGAUAAAAUAAAUAAAAACAUAGAAAUAAGAUAAGCGAGGAGAAAGAAGCGACAUAAUUUAUAAUAAAAAGGGGACUGCUUUAUAAUAAACUGGCUACCCCAGAUAAACAUGUAAAAUAAAUAAAAAGACUAAAAGAAAUUGUCCGAGUCAAACAAAGAGAUGUUUUGGUUUUAUUUGGAUCAGAAACCCAACUUGUUAAUCAUUAUCCGACCCAAAGGCCGAACUCUUAAACAAGUAAUAAUGUCAUUAGCCUCACCGUUAAUAUUUGUUGGGAUCAUCAUUUUCGAAAAGGGCUACCCGUCCCACCCCACCUAGGCUGGAUGUCAAGUCUAAAGGCGUUCUAUGAUAAGGACAAAACUAACGUUUUUAGUAAUACUUAUCGUCCCAACUAUCGUCCAAGAGGCAUUGGACUUUACUAUUUUGGAUUUGUGUUCUAAACUAAAAGAAAGCUAUGUUGCCUAGGACUCGAAAUGUAAAUAUAUUGGACAACAAGUAACACGUAAUAAUCCCAAGUUAGCCUCUUGAUUAAUUAACAUUUAUUAACGUGAUAGCAUGCGAAGACAGACAAUUAUAUAAUACGGCAUUAACCUAUAGGCAUGAUGUCUAAAUGUUCAAUCAAGUGGUGAUAAAGGACAACUGUGAUUCGUGCAUGCAACAAUGUAAUGCGUGUUCAUGAGGGUGUCACAAGUGUGGUAAAUGUGUCGAGAAAUAUUUUUUGAAUUGAGUGUUGCAAACUAAUGAGAAUAGAAGAAAUAAACAAGAAUAUUAAAAAGCACUAACAUGUUAAGGAUGCCAUAAUAUACUUACUCUAGUGUUUAAACGUACCGAAAAGUGCUCAAAAGUAUGUAUUUUUAUAUAACAGCAAUUGUAUUAUUUCAGAAAUUUCAUAGUGACAUGCUGAGAGUGUAUAAAUUAUACAAAAGAUGUCUUAAAGCUAACAUUUUGAUAUGCUGAUAUAUUUAAACAUGAUAGAGAUAUGCCAACAUACAGAAACUUUAACAUGCUAGAAGUAGUUAUGACAUGCUGAAAUUUAUUAGAUGCAUAGAAUUUUAAUGUUCUAAUGUUAAUAACAUGCUAAAUUUGUAUAGAUACACAAAAAUAUAUUUUAAACGUGUUGAAAUUUAUUUAAACAUGCUGAGAUUUGUCUUAAUGUGCCGAAAUACCAUAUUAACAUGCUGAAAAUUGCAAUAGCCCAAAAUAAUGAUAUGCAAAAAAAGUGAAUGUAUUAACCUAUUUGCACUUAAUUUAACAUGCUUAAAAUAAGUUAACAUGCUAAGCGAUAAUUACCUCAACAUGUCAACAUGUUUAAGAUUCACUAUACGACAUACCGGAAGAUACAUUGAUAUGUUUAUGUCGAAUUAAUGUGCCCGUUAUGCUAUAAUACAUAAUGUUAGGUUAAUAUGCUUAUAUUCGUGUUAACAAGAUUGGCAUAUUAAAUCGUUCACACCUAAUACUAAAAUUAUGUUAACAUAUCGGGAUUGACUCAAAUUCGUUAGCAAACAAAUUAAGCAUUGCAUAUGUUAAUGAAUCCUAGAUGAUCCACGUAGCACGUAUUACAUAUAAUUCUAGUUUGUGCGUACUUAUACCGUUCACAGAGCAUGUAAAUUCUCUCCCCCCAAAGCAGUCCCCAGAAUUAUACUACUACAAUGAUAGGAAUGUCUUACAAUAAUAUUACAGAACAAAUAGUAAUAAAGGAAAAACAACUAGUUAAAAAAUACAUAAUUUAAAUAUUCUGGGGACUCUUUGGAACUUGUACGUGUCUGUUUAACCUGCGAAACAUAUUAUAAUGGCAAGAAGACAGGAACACAUAGUAGCAAACAUCAAAAUAUUCCUAAAGACAUACUUUCUAAAGGUUUUUAGAACAUAGUGCAAUCAACACACAUAGAGAAUGAAAAAUUACAUCGUUCAAGAACUCACCAGUGAACAGCAGUACAGAGAGAAUAAGAACAAUAUGAGCCAAAAGCCAAGCACACGUAAUAGUUGAAGUAUGCAAGAUAUUAACAACAGUCUUCAAAAAGAAACACUUUAAAAUAUUUAAUUGCCUUAGAGAGUAGUAGUAGUAAUUGUAAUGUCAAAGCUUAAGAGUUUAAGAGCUUAAGAACCUGUGAACUUGUGAACUUGAGAAGUGAGAGCUUGUGAACUUGUGAACUUGAGAAGUGAGAGCUUGUGAACUUGUGAACUUAUCCCUUACUGAAAAAAAUGAAUGAGUUUAUAUAGUAAAAGAGAUUAGAGGGUAAAAGGAGAAAAAUAGGUUUUCCACUCAAUCGAAAUCAAUAAGGAGAGAGAAAUAAGCUGAGAAUCAAUCCAUAAUAUUAUUUUUCUUAGUUAAGUAAGGAGAAUUAUUUGUAAGCAGGUUUACCGUAAAUAGACGAGAGAUGAGUACAAGGAAGCACUAAUUUAGGAGGGAAUAAGUACUAAUGGUAGAAACAUAUCAAGGUUGGUAAUUACCAUAAAUCAAUCCAGAUUUUUAAAAAAACCUUUCCAUACCACACAAGAAUAAAAUUUUAGAAAAAUCACAGACAUAUCCAGUUUACCUAAAAUAAGCAAGGACAAGAGCUAUCUUUCAAUUUCAUCCCAAUCAUAUGUCAAUAAAAAAUCUUACUUGAUUGUAAACAAACCGGAGCCUACUAUAAUCAGCUAUCAUAAUACUUUUAGCUCACCAAAUAAAGAUGGCUGGAAAUUCGAAUUUUAAAUAGAUGACCCAAACACAUUUUAGACCAAAAAGUAACAACUUUUAUCCGUAAGUGAAGGAUAUCAGAUUUAGAGGUAUCACACUUUAAAUUACGAAAUUAAAAUAAUAAAACUUGGGGAUUUUAAUAGGUAUGUAAGUCUGGAGACGAACAUAAGCCCGAAAAUUGACAAAUAGGAACAAAAUUUAGAGUCACAGUAUCGUAAUUUAUAAAGCUGCAGGGCUACGAUUUACAAUCAUAGUAAAGAAUCAUGCAUGUUAACCAAAGCAAACAACCAUGUAAUUAAGAGUUUGAGAAAUCAAACCAGAUAGAAAUAGUCUUUGUUUGUUGAAAGCCUCGCUAGUUAUGACAACUAGAUAGUGAUAAUGGGGUCUUUCAUCGACCAGGAAGAAAAGAGUGAAGCAGCGACGGCAGUGACGAGACGGAUCGAUUGGACGAUGGGGAGGUCUGUUCUUGUUGGUGCUGCUUUGGGUGAAUGGUGUGGCGCCAUGGCUACUGGUGAUAGUGGAAAGGUGGCACUGGGGUUGAUUCGCUGCUUUUGGUGGCGAUAUGGCUGCUAGGAGUACGAAGAUGAGGGCGUUGUUGUGGCCGUCGUUGAUGGAGGCGCCAUGGCUGGUGCGGCGAUGGUAUGUCGAUUGGAGGAUGAAGGGGACUCAUGGUGGCUAUUGCUGCUGCUUUGUGGCGGCGCUUGGUUUGUCGGAGAAGAAGGAUGAUGGAGAAAAGAAGGAAGAGAGGGGGGCGGCACUGACGUUGAUGUGGCCGGCAGCUAUGGCUGCCGAUAGAGAGGGGAUUAGAGGGAGAGAAGAGAGGUAUAGAGAGAAAGAGGAGAGAGGGGUAUUGGAGGCG